AAGGAUCAUUACAGAGUUCAUGCCCUUCUGGGUAGAUCUCCACCCUUGUAUAUAUCACUAUUCGUUGCUUUGGCGGAGUCUCAUGUUGAAAGGCGUACGCUGAGUAGACUGGGCUAUCCGCCAGAGGACCCCUAAAUUCUGAAUAUUAGUGUCGUCUGAGUACUAUAUAAUAGUUAAAACUUUCAACAACGGAUCUCUUGGUUCUGGCAUCGAUGAAGAACGCAGCGAAAUGCGAUAAGUAAUGUGAAUUGCAGAAUUCAGUGAAUCAUCGAAUCUUUGAACGCACAUUGCGCCCCUUGGUAUUCCGGGGGGCAUGCCUGUUCGAGCGUCAUUUAACCGAUCCAGCCUAGCUGGGUAUUGGGCCUCGCUAUAAUCAGCGGGCCUUAAAAGUAGUGGCGGUGCUCUCAGGCUCUACGCGUAGUAAUUUUCUCGCUAUAGAGCUCAAGGAGAUGCUAGCCAUCAACCCCAAAUAUUCUUGGUUGACCUCGGAUCAGGUAGGGAUACCCGCUGAACUUAA
rnacentral:sRNA from 1 species